rnacentral:lncRNA from 1 species
GAGUGUGAGAGCGAGAACAGCCCCGCAGGUCCCGAGGCGCUGGCUGGGGACAAUGCCGCGGAAAGUUCCCAGUCCCCAGCCGCAGAUCUGCAGAAUUGAAAUGAAAUGUUUUGAGCUCUUCAAGCUGACUCGUCAGAAUCCUGGAGCCUUUUAAAAAAUGACGAAUUGGAAGGAAAAAUUACUUUAUCAAUAACCAGGCUCCACCAGGAUUGACCUAGAUGGUUGUUCCUGGCACUUGUCAUUCUCAGCAAGCACAGCUCAGAGAACAAAUACAAAAGACCCAAAGUGCAUUGCAUCUUUUAUGGAAGUGCCCAAUGUGGAAAUCAUAGAUUUCAAGGAAGGAACAAGAAAAUUGAUGAAACAAGUUCAAAAGAAAGGUACCUGUGCCUCAUCAUUCCUAAAGAACACUGAUCAAUGAUCCCAGAAGUAUGCCAUGUUCUCUUAAUUCAUCAGAGACUGAAAGCAAAGGAAAAUCAAGAAAUGUCAUGAUGUCAUACUAAGAAGAAACCACCUGAGAUGAGACUGUUAGAUGUUCAGAGCAAACAAAAACAAAAACAGACCAACAAAAAAAACCCAAAACAAAACAGAAGUUUCUGAAGGACAGCAGAAAUGGCUUUGCAGGACCACAACAACCACUCCCAGUCAUGAUGGAGAGAAGUGUUCAAUACCCACAGAUCCUGAACGUUGAGCUGAUUAUACUAACUAGAUGGGACUUAGUUUUGUCUACCGUGGGGUGAGCGUAUACUACCUGAGGGAACAGGUUCUCUAUGGUGAAGAUGGCAACUUGCUGACUCAGUCUCAGAAUGCGUUAAAUCCACAUAUUCUGAAGUCCUCAGCAGAGUGAAACUUCAUAUAUAAUAUUUUCUACAGACAAAGUUACCAUCAAUAUCAACAGCAACAACACGGCAACAGCCAACAUUUACAGAACUUUUAUUAAGUUCCAGUCACCGUAUGUGCCUGCUUCCCCUUUGCCUUCCACCAUCAUUAUAAGUUUCCUGAGGCCACCACUGCCAUGCUUCCUGUACAGACUGUGGGACUCCAUGUAAGAUGUUCCUGCUUCCCCUUUGCCUUCUACCAUGAUUGUAACUUUCCUGAGGCCUUCCCAGCCAUG